CCUACGGGUGGCAGCAGUAGGGAAUCUUCCACAAUGGGCGCAAGCCUGAUGGAGCAACACCGCGUGAGUGAAGAAGGGUUUCGGCUCGUAAAGCUCUGUUGUUGGAGAAGAACGUGCGUGAGCGUAACUGUUCACGCAGUGACGGUAUCCAACCAGAAAGUCCCGGCUAACUACGUGCCAGCACCCGCGGUAAUACGUAGGUGGCAAGCGUUAUCCGGAUUUAUUGGGCGGAAAGCGAGCGCAGGCGGGAGGUUAGGUCUGAUGUGAAAGCCUGCGGCUUAACCCCAGAAGUGCAUCGGAAACCGGGGGGCUUGAGUGCAGGAGAGGACAGUGGAACUCCAUGUGUAGCGGUGGAAUGCGUAGAUAUAUGGAAGAACACCAGUGGCGAAGGCGGCUGACUGGACUGCAACUGACGCUGAGGCUCGAAAGCAUGGGGAGCGAACAGGAUUAGAUACCCCUGUAGUC
rnacentral:rRNA from 1 species